GACGAACGCUGGCGGCGUGCUUAACACAUGCAAGUCGAACGAUGAAGCAGAGACACGCGAACUUCGGUUCAAAUUUCACUUCGGAUUAGUGGCAGACGGGUGAGUAACGCGUGAGCAACCUACCUCUUACAAAGGGAUAGCCUCGGGAAACCGUGAUUAAUACCAUAUGACACAUUCAUAAGGCAUCUUAAGAAUGUUAAAGCUACGGCGGUAAGAGAUGGGCUCGCGUCCCAUUAGCUAGUUGGUGAGGUAACGGCCCACCAAGGCGACGAUGGGUAACCGGCCUGAGAGGGUGAACGGUCACAUUGGAACUGAGACACGGUCCAAACUCCUACGGGAGGCAGCAGUGGGGAAUAUUGCACAAUGGAGGGAACUCUGAUGCAGCGACGCCGCGUGAGCGAUGAAGGAAUUCGUUUCGUAAAGCUCUGUUCUAUGGGAAGAAAAGGACUGUACCAUAGGAGAAAGCCCCGGCUAAAUACGUG
rnacentral:rRNA from 1 species